GUGUGGUAUGUGCGUUGACUGCUAGGACGAAGGUUAUAAGUCGAAAUCAACGCACAUAACACUGAUUAAUAUAGAGGUUGUAGAAAAUAUAAAGAUCUACAGUUUCUACUACCUUUUCCGUUUCUACUUUUUCAGUAAGCCCUAGUUUAUAAUAAUGCAAGUUAAGGUGAAGUAAGGUAAUGUAGAGAGGUAAGGUAAGGUAUCCAUUCUUUGACCUUCACGAAAAAGUAAAGUAUGAAGAAUUGCCAUAGUGAUUAUAGGUUUUGGUAACUUUUGUGUUGGCAGCAAUGCAUAAACAAAUAUUGACAUUCCACUUCCAUAAUCCUGACAGCAGCAAUCAUUCAUAUGAAAUAAAUAAUAACUUUCAUUGCUAUAAAAUUACGGAAGACACAUAUUUUAUAUCAUUAAUAGAACAAUACCCAAUAAUUUAUUAUAAAAAAGAUAAAAUUUUAAAAUAAAUUAAUGAAGAAGAAGGCAUGGCAGGUGAUUGCCAAAAUAGAGGAGCAAUGUCAAAAGCGAUAUAAAGUUUUAAGAGACAGAUAUACCAAAGAAAAAUAAGAUGUGGCUCAGUGUGGAAAGUCAGGUACCGAAGCAAGUGAUAGGAGAGAAUAAAUAGCCUUCAUUCAGGGCAAUGUAAUUUUGGAUGACCACAUACAACCCAGAAAAAUAACCGAAAGUAAAGUAACCAAUACAGGCAGUAGUUCGUAGAUAGGAUGCAUUGAGUAGCAGAAGUGUAAUUAAAAACAACGAAACCACUCGGGGUCGACUCCCCAUUAUUGUUGAUUCCCAUACUAGUGAAGCACAAAAAAAUGAAGGCUCUCGGUUAGAAGUUGAAGUGAUAGAAAAUUUCGAAGGUGUAAAACCACACAAAUCUUUCAAAAACACUUAUUCAAAUAUUAAAAAAAAAUAGGAAGAAGAUAUUGUAAAUAAAAUUACUACCCAGCCAAAUAAACAAACAGAUUCAGACCUAGCCUUUGGGUAUUAUGUAGGCUAAGCUUUGAAAGACGUUAACAAACAGAAAAAUGAAGGCGAAACUGAAAACAAAAAUUACACAACUCACUGUUGGUUUUCAACAAAUACUUUUUGUUACAAGUUUUCUAUGACACGCAAUUUUUGGUUUCUUAUGCUGUUUUAUCUUUUUCCUUGAUAUGGAAUGUUUCAAGUUUUGGUGAUAGAUAGAUUUUAAGUUUUCCUGAUAAAGAUAAUGUUUGAAAUUUUUAUAUGAAUUUUAAGUUUUUUCUUGUUUUUUUUUUGUGAUAGGUACUGCAGUUUUGUUUUGAUUAUUUUGUGACAAUAAGAAUUUGAGUUCCUCAUGUAUUAUUGCCACCAAUACUUUUUGUUCAUGAGAAUGUAAAAAAAAACAUUUGGGAGAAUAAAUUUUUUUUUGAAGA